GAGACCCACGCCAACAGUUGCCAGCACGUUCUCCGGAGUGACGGGUACACUGUGGGGACCGCCGCUGCUAAAGCGGAGGAAGGAAUGGGCAACGGUAGGUCAGUAUGCCCCGAAUAUCCCGGGCUACACGCGAGCUACAAUGGUUGGUACAAUGGGUAUCUACCCCGAAAGGGGAUGGAAAUCUCCUAACGCCAAUCCUAGUUCGGAUUGAGGGCUGCAACUCGCCUCAUGAAGCUGGAAUCCGUAGUAAUCGCACAUCAACAGUGUGCGGUGAAUAC
rnacentral:rRNA from 1 species